rnacentral:rRNA from 1 species
UCGAGUCUUUGAACGCAAGUUGCGCCCGAGGCCAACCGGCUGAGGGCACGUCCGCCUGGGCGUCAAGCGUUGCGUCGCUCCGUGCCAACCUCGUCCCGUCAAAUGGCGUCGGGGGAGGCGCGGAAGUGCAGGGUGGCUCGUCGUGCCCAUCGGUGUG